rnacentral:rRNA from 1 species
AGCGAACGCUGGCGGCAGGCCUAACACAUGCAAGUCGAACGGAUCCUUCGGGAUUAGUGUCGGACGGGUUAGUAACACGUCGGAACGUGCCCUUUGGUUCGGAACAACUCAUGGAAACUUGAGCUAAUACCGGAUGUGCCCUUCUGGGGAAAGAUUUAUCGCCAUUGGAGCGGCCCGCGUCUGAUUAGCUAGUUGGUUAGGUAAUGGCCCAACAAGGCGACGAUCAGUAGCUGGUCUGAGAGGAUGAUCAGCCACACUGGGACUGAGACACGGCCCAGACUCCUACGGGAGGCAGCAGUGGGGAAUCUUGCGCAAUGGGCGAAAGCCUGACGCAGACAUGACGCGUGAAUGAUGAAGGUCUUAGGAUUGUAAAAUUCUUUCAGCGGGGACGAUAAUGACGGUACCCGCAGAAGAAGCUCCGGCUAACUUCGUG